AAUCAUAAUGGCCGAAAAUCUAAGGUUUCUUGGGGAAGGUUCGUCCGCCCAAGGUUAGUCGGGAGCUAAGCUCAGGCCGAAAGGCGUAGGCGAUGCACAUACGGUAGAAAUUCCGUAACCACCGAACAUUUAAGCUAGAGGGACGCUUUCUUUAAGGUUAUCCCGGGCGAUGGUUGCCCCGGGCGUAAGGGACCGAAAUAUAGUAGGGAAGUAACUGGCGAGAGAGACGAGAAAAGCUCUAGUGUAUACUAAGGUGCCCGUACCGCAAACCGACACAGGUAGAUGGGAUGAGUAUUCUAAGGCCAACGGGAGAAGGGUUGUUAAGGAACUCGGCAAAUUGGCCCCGUAACUUCGGGAUAAGGGGCGCCUGCGAGAGCAGGCCGCAGUGAAAAGGCCCAAGCGACUGUUUAGCAAAAACACAGCUCUCUGCUAAAUCGAAAGAUGACGUAUAGGGGGUGACGCCUGCCCGGUGCUGGAAGGUUAAGGGGAGUGCUUAGCGCAAGCGAAGGUGCGAACUUAAGCCCCAGUAAACGGCGGCCGUAACUAUAACGGUCCUAAGGUAGCGAAAUUCCUUGUCAGGUAAGUUCUGACCCGCACGAAUGGCGUAAUGAUUUGGGCACUGUCUCAACAGCCCGCCCGGCGAAAUUGUAGUACCGGUGAAGAUGCCGGUUUCCCGCAACUAGACGGAAAGACCCCAUGGAGCUUCACUGUAGCUUGAUAUUGGAUCUCGGUAUUCCAUGUACAGGAUAGGUGGGAGGCUAGGAAGCGAGCGCGCCAGCGUUCGUGGAGCCAACCUUGGGAUACCACUCUUGGGAUAUUGGGAUUCUAACCUGCGACCAUGAAUCUGGUCGGGGGACACUGUCAGGUGGGCAGUUUGACUGGGGCGGUCGCCUCCAAAAGAGUAACGGAGGCGCUCAAAGGUUCGUUCAGCACGGAUGGAAAUCGUGCACUGAGUGUAAACGCAUAAACGAGCCUAACUGCGAGAAUGACGGUUCGAGCAGUAACGAAAGUUGGAGUUAGUGAUCCGGCGGUAUGUGAAUGGAAAUGCCGUCGCUCAACGGAUAAAAGCUACCCUGGGGAUAACAGGCUGAUCUCCCCCAAGAGUCCACAUCGACGGGGAGGUUUGGCACCUCGAUGUCGGCUCAUCGCAUCCUGGGGCUGAAUUCGGUCCCAAGGGUUUGGCUGUUCGCCAAUUAAAGCGGUACGCGAGCUGGGUUCAGAACGUCGUGAGACAGUUCGGUCCCUAUCUGUUGCGGGCGCAGGAAUAUUGAGAGGAGCUGUCCUUAGUACGAGAGGACCGGGAUGGACGUACCGCUGGUGCACCAGUUGUUCUGCCAAGGGCAUAGCUGGGUAGCUAAGUACGGACGAGAUAAACGCUGAAGGCAUCUAAGCGUGAAACUCCCCUCGAGAUAAGUGUUCCCAUCCUUCGGGAGUAAGGCCCCUUGUAGACUACAAGGUUGAUAGGUCAGGAGUGGAAGUGCAGUAAUGUAUGGAGCGGACUGAUACUAAUAGGCCGAGGGCUUGACCU
rnacentral:rRNA from 1 species